rnacentral:rRNA from 1 species
AACGCUAGCUACAGGCUUAACACAUGCAAGUCGAGGGGCAGCGGGGUUGUAGCAAUACGACUGCCGGCGACCGGCGCACGGGUGCGUGACACGUGUGCAACCUGCCCGUCACCGGGGGAUAACCCGCGGAAACGCGGCCUAAUACCCCAUAAUAUAAUAUUAUCGCAUGAUGAUUUUAUUAAAACUCCGGUGGUGACGGAUGGGCACGCGGGACAUUAGCUAGUUGGCGGGGUAACGGCCCACCAAGGCGACGAUGUCGAGGGGUUCCGGGAGGAAGGUCCCCCACACUGGUACUGAGACACGGACCAGACUCCUACGGGAGGCAGCAGUGAGGAAUAUUGGUCAAUGGUCGAGAGACUGAACCAGCCAAGUCGCGUGAGGGACGACGAUUCUAUGGAUUGUAAACCUCUUUUGUUAGGGACGAAUAAGUUGUACGUGUACGAUGAUGCCUGUACCUAACGAAUAAGCAUCGGCUAACUCCGUGCCAGCAGCCGCGGUAACACGGGGGAUGCGAGCGUUAUCCGGAAUUAUUGGGUUUAAAGGGAGCGUAGGUUGCUUGUCAAGUCAGCGGUCAAAUACUGCAGCUAAACUGUAGGCAGCCGUUGAAACUGGCGAGCUCGAGUGAGGACGAGGUUGGCGGAACAGGUGAAGUAGCGGUGAAAUGCAUAGAUAUCACCUGGAACCCCGAUAGCGAAGGCAGCUAACCAGGCCUUAACUGACACUGAUGCUCGAGAGCGUGGGUAGCGAACAGGAUUAGAUACCCUGGUAGUCCACGCCGUAAACGAUGCUCACUGGCCCUGGGCGACAGACAGUCCGGGGUCGAGCGAAAGUAAAAGUGAGCCACCUGGGGAGUACGUCGGCAACGAUGAAACUCAAAGGAAUUGACGGGGGCCCGCACAAGCGGAGGAACAUGUGGUUUAAUUCGAUGAUACGCGAGGAACCUUACCCGGGUUUAAAUGCAGGUUGCAUGAAGUGGAAACAUUUCUUUCCUUCGGGACCACUUGCAAGGUGCUGCAUGGUUGUCGUCAGCUCGUGCCGUGAGGUGUCGGCUUAAGUGC